CCAACGGCUCUUUUAAGAGCCACACACUCGAUCUACAGACCAACGU
rnacentral:ncRNA from 14 species